AACGCACGAGACCUGCGGACCUGCGGAGGGAUCAUCAGUGAACGCCCUCACGGGCUUAUAACUAUUCCAAACCUCUGUGAACCGUGCCCUUCGGGGCUAUUUUACAAACAUGGUGUAAUGAACGUCAUAUAUCAUAACAAAACAAAACUUUUAACAAUGGAUCUCU
rnacentral:misc_RNA from 1 species